CUUCAGGGACUCUAGUUGAUGGAGCAACAUCUUUGUCACUAUUUCUUCUUCCAAUCCUUCCCUCACCAUUACUUCUUCCAUUAUCUUACAAUUGCAUAUCUCAAGUCUUUUCAGAUGCACAACACUUGAUGGUGAUAAGAAAUAUUUUAAAUUACCACACCCAUCAAUAAUCAGGCUAGUUAAAUUCUGAGUAUAAGAACAUAUUUCCAACUGCUGAGCGUGCCAUAUCAUCUCGACCUUAGUUGAUGACAGUUUCAAGUCUUUCAAAUUAGGAAAAAAUACCUUUGGCUCAAUAAUUCCAUCGUUUGCAUUUGGGGCUGCUUCCUUGAAAAAUGAACAAUUGAAUGUGGUUGGGCAAUCAGCUAAAGUAAUCUCUUUUAGAGAUGGAAAAUGCACAGUACCACUUCCAGAUUUGAAAGUGAUUAAGUUGGGCAAGGUCUCGAGAGUAAUGGAGUUCAGUAGAGGAAAUAUGAUCUCCUCCAUAGAUUCUUCCUUCGCUACGCCUUCUGUGAUGAUUGUUUUAACCAUGGCACAACUUUUCACUUCAAGCACUUGGAGUUGCUCCAGUCUAGAACAGAUGGUAGGAGUAAAUAUGUUUCUCAAACUGCUACAAUUGUGGAUUUUGAGCAGUUUAAGGUUUCUGAGGUCUAAAAUUCCGUUAGGAACUUCAAUCCAGAGACGCCUCAACAUUGGAAGAUUUAUCAGGUCCAACUCAUUUAACUUGGACAAAUGCCCAACAACACUGUUGGCAUUUUCCCAUUCCGUGCCAAAAACUUCUUUCAUAAAAUCACAAUUUCUUACCUCAAGCUUAUCCAGAUUAUUCAAAAUGGGUAGCAGACCAGAGGGAACAGAACUAGAGGGAAACAUACAUUCGUCUACAACCAGCCUACUCAAAUUGUAGAAGAAGUUGAAUGGAAGUUUAUCUUGCCAUACCGCUUUUAGUUCAGGAAAUUGAGAGAGUUCCAAAUGUUGUAGGCCACUGAAUCCAACCUUUUCUGUAUACAAUUGUAUUAUAGUGGAAUUAAGGUUUCCAAUCCAACGCCAUUUAUCUCUUUCUUCUGUCAAAUUUACUCUCUUUAACUUUGGUGCGCUUAUGGCUCCUUGAGAAAAAAUCUUCAUUUUGGGGCACUGUGUCACAAUUACUUCUUCCAAAGACGGAAAUUUUAACGUGCAAUUCGCUGAUGAGCAAAAGCUUGAGAGGCUUUUUAAGCAGAGAAGUUUCAAAGUUCUUAAUUUCCACAAAACAAUCUCACUUUGGGAUUGGGAAUCAUUUCUGUCGUUUGACACAAUUUCUUCCACCUUAUGGCUUUCUCUUACGAUCAUUGUGGUGAGAUUGACCAUACUUUUAGCAGUAGAAGAUGAUAUUAAGCUCAACAAUCCUUGACAUUUCCACACAUCCAGAGUCGUAAGAUUUUUGAAAGUUGCAGAGGAUGGUGCCAAAUUAGUCAAACCAUAGCAAGUCACUAUUUCUAGAGUUUGAAGAUUCUCAAGAACUUGGCCAGGUUGGCACUCUUGAUUCCAUAUUUUCCUGAUAUUAGGAAGGAAUUCCAAUCUUAAGAAUCGUAUCUGCGAGAGAACUCCUGCGUCCUGACCUUUAAUACCAUAUGAGAGUAGCUCUUUGAAAUAGCAACGUCUCAAAACAAGCGUUUCCAAAUUCUGGAAUUUUUGAAGAAGAUGGAAUGGAGAAUUCAGUGAAGCAUCAUCAAAAUAUUGCAGGUGAAGAAUCUUUAGCUUCUGAAAGAGGUCUACUGGAAACUGGCCUUGUUGUAUCAUUGUAAUGUCCUUUUGGUUUAGCGUUAAUUCCUCCAAGUUGUGAAUAAUUUGAAGUAUAGAUGCUAAGACUCAAACCUCUCUAAAUGAGAAGAGUGGUUGCAGAACUUGAAUCUUCAAUUCACUCUUUUGCUUCUCCAUGUGUGUUCCUUGCAAGUCCUGAGGUUCUGAAGUAAAAACUUCCAAUUUAUCACAGCGAUGUACACUCAAUUUUUCUAGCUGUGUACAUUCUAUAAUGUGCUUCUCUGAGUAAAAACACUUUAUUUUUGAUCUCCAAAGGCGUAAGGACUUUAGCUGAGAAAAAACAAACUUAGGAGUAGGUGCUGUCUCUAUUCUUUCCUCCUUUGCAACAAGUUCCUCCAUCCCACAACCAUCUAUGUCAACUGUCAAGUAACUCAAGUUGUGAGCUAUUGAAAAUGGGAAAACACUAGUUAAGCUUGGACAAAACCAAACAUGCACUUUGCGUAGGUUAUGAAAAGAGAGAAUGCCAUGAGGAUCCCCAUUCCAUAAAUGCUUCAACUUUGGGAGGUAUUUUACGCCUAGAGUUCUCAAUUGAGUGGUUGCCACAGCAUUUGCUUCCUUUGCUUUUAUCAGUUCUUGGAGAUCAAACACCUCUUCCACUAAAUUGCUCUUGCUUACAAUCAACGAUUUGAGAUUUUGUAGGAAUCUUCUCAACAAUUUAGAUGGAAAAUUUUUCAAUAGUUCCUUCAUAUGUUGUACUUCCAACACUUUUAAUGUACAAAAGGAAUCUGCUUGGAGUUCAUCAUACCAAAUCAUCUUCAACUGAUGCAUGUACAAAAUAUGCAAUUCCUCCAAAUUAGGAAAGCAAACCUUUUCAUCAAAGAGAGUUGCACUUGCUUGUCCUGCUCCACUGGUAAUUCCCAAAUUUUUGGUUAUAGAACUAGAGAUAAAUGUUUGCAGAUGAGGGCAAUUCUCUAUCCAUAGCACUUUCAUUGAGGGACAUUCAAUUAAGUUACCAAUGCAAAAUCGUAUAAAUUUGGGAAGACCUUUCAUCUUAAGAGUGUCUAGCUUAGGAAAUAACAUUUUGCUCAUCAUUUCUCCUUCUUCUUUAAUGAUUACUACUUCCAUGGAUUUGCAAUCACAUAUCUCAAGCUUUUUGAGUUGUGCAAGGCUUCCAACCAUAGAAGAUGUAAAUAAAUAGCUUAAAUGCCCACAGCCAUCAAUGAUCAAGGUUGUCAAUCUUUCAAUGCAUGAAGAUAAUCCUAUAAGUUUAUUGGGCCAUAUCUUCCCCACAUUAAUUGAAGACAAUUUCAGAUCUGUCAAAUUAGGGAAUUGAAUCUUUUUGCAGAAAAGCAUCAACAGGAAUUCAGCUUCAUCCUCAGAUACAAUUUCAUUAGAUCUGGAAUUAGCUGCUAGUAGCCUGUGUAUUCUUUGGGGCACUUGAGAGCAAAAACUUGUAAAAUGAGGUAGAUAUUCUAGAGUCAAUUUGCAUAAUUGUGUCAACUUUAUUCCUUCAUCUCUGACAUUGUCAUUUUCACUUUCCUCAUCAACAAUCGUUUCCAAAAUUUUGCAGCUGCUUGCAUUGAUCUCUUCUAGCUGCACAAGCCCUCUAAAUAUCAAGAACAAAAAGAGAUUCUUCAACACAUUACAAUUUCUCACAUUUAACUUUCUUAGAUUGCUGAAAGACCUCAGCAUGAUUGGGCCAUGACAGAUCUUGUCCAAGCUAUUCAGAUUGUCCAGAAGCAAUGACUCCAGCCUUGGGAAAGCAAUGAGUUGGCCCAUCCUCAUCCCAUCAACAACAUAUUCAAUCUCAACACUAUUUUGGACACAAAGAUGCCCUGGUUGAGGAAAACCUUGCCCAUCUAAUUCAUAAAGGACAUUUUUCAGAUACUUCAAAUCAUCUACAUAUAGAUCUUCAGCUCUCAUCAGCAAGACUUUUACCUUUUCCAGUUCAAUGCUUGUAUUGAGCUUGAGUUUCCAUAUUCUUGAGGUUUUAUAAUUGCUAGACCAAUCCCACUCAUUUCCAAUGAGUAUUGUCUAUCUUUCCAACAUUUUAGAGAACAAAUUUCUGGGAAUGAUCUUUGCAUCGAUGAUUUUUAAGUCUAGAGAGACUAGGUUUGACAGAAGCUUCAACUCGACCAGAUUAGCAUUGUUUCUUCGACUAUCAUGCCCUUCACCCUCCCAUUGCACAAAGCUGUUUCCCAUAUACAAGUCUUCUAAUUGGAUCAAGCAUGAAAGAACGCCUGGUGGGAUAACUUCAAGUCUUUGACAUCUGCUCAAAUCCAAAAGUCGCAAACG
rnacentral:misc_RNA from 1 species